rnacentral:rRNA from 1 species
AUUCCAGCUCCAAGAGCGUGUAUUAAAGUUGCUGCGGUUAAAGAUCUCGUAGUUGGAUUUCACUCAAGUAAUGUUAACUCGUCGAGAGGUUGUACGUUGAUGUUCCUCAGACUUCGUCAGAAGCUCGUGUUGCACUUGACUGUGUGGUACGAUGUUCUGGCCUUGUACUUUGAAGACAAUCGAGAGUUGAAGGCAGGCUACCCAGCUUGAAUACAUUAACAUGGAGUAAUGGAAUGGAUCUCGGUUCGAUUUCGCUGGUUCUGGAGCUGGGGUGAAGAUCAAUGGGAACAGGCGAAGGCAUUCGUACGAAGAGUGAAAACCGAUGAUCUCUUAAAGACGAUCCGAUGCGAAAGCAUUGGUCGUCUCAUUA